GUCCUCCUACUUAGUCUGUGUUGGGCCUGGGAGAAAGUGAAGGGUUCAGCAUGGAGUCCUUCUUCUCUUCAGGGCCUGGCCAGGGACACUGACCCACAUAGCAGGCCAGUUCAGGAGGCCAGGGGUCCAUUUAGGAAAGGCUGGGGCAGGCAUCCCUGGGGACAGGGAGGGGAAAGGUUUUUAAGAAGCACUCUGCUCCGCUUCCCACUGUGGACUCAUCCCAGAGCUGCUGGGCUCCUAACCCCAGGUAGCAGCCACUCAGUAGCCCAGCCUGGCUCCUUUCCAGGAGGGAGGGCAGUAACCCAUCAUCCUCCAGGAGCAUGGCAGCAGCUGGGGAGAGAGUGAACUUCUGCAUGGUUUACAGCUUCACCUUCUGGAACAUAGUGAGUCUCCUUCCACGGAGACUGGAUUUUGUUGUUUUUCACUGUUAUAUUUUAUUUUGUUUUGAGAACAGUCUCACACUGUACCCCAGACUGGUCUGGAACGCUAUGUGUAGUCCAGGCAGAUGAGGUAUGUCCAGCAAUCCUCCUGUCUCGGCCUCCUGACUGCUGAGCUAGCAGGUGUGAACCGCCACACCAGGCUGACAGGAUGAGGGUUCGAGAGAAAUGGAUACACUCAGUGGUCUGUCUGCUGACCCCAUGGUUGAGCUCUGGGCAUUAAGAGCCACGUGGAGCUCUGCAGGUGACAAAUUACUCUCAUACAACGUCACAAUGCCACAGAGGAGACAUUCGCCCCCUGCUUUACAGCCGAGGAAGCUGAGGUGACUUGCUCACAGCUGCAAGCUUCAACAGGAAUCCGAGCAUGCCUGGCAUCCAGGAGCACCCCACUUCUGCUAAUAAUGAUUUUACAAAUGAUCUCUGAGAUGGAAAGCGUCACUCCAAAAUGGCCACGCCACACAGCAACUAUAAAUGGAGUGCCAGACAAAUGACUCAGUGAUAUCUGAAUCUAGGCAGUGACCAACUGUGUGUCACAAAGGGAGCAGCAGCCAUAAAUGUCCACAGUGAUGUGAAAUACCAGACUGCUUUCCACAUCCUAUAAAACAGACAUAAAUAUUUACUUCAUACUAUAAUUACGAAGAGGGACCCUGGAUUGUCAUAAAACCUAAAGAUUGAUGAUAACCCAACCACCUCUGUAGCGUAAUAAAUUCUGCCUGAGGUUA